UACGUAGGGGGCGCGCGUUGUCCGGAGUUACUGGGCGUAACGCGCACGCAGGCGGUCUGCUAAGUUUGGAGUGACAGUUGGUGGCUUAACUGCCAAAGUGCUUCGAAAACUGACAGACUUGAGGGCUUCAGAGGGACACGGAAUUCCGGGUGGAGUGGUGAAAUGCGUAGAGAUCCGGAGGAACACCAAAGGCGAAGGCAGUGUCCUGGGGAGUACCUGACGCUCAGGUGCGAAAGCCAGGGGAGCGAACGGG
rnacentral:rRNA from 1 species